rnacentral:lncRNA from 1 species
CAUCAUUACAUCACUCUAAGACACAAGAAUUAAGUCAAGGUCAUACAUAGAGCAAAAUACAAAGUUAUUACAACUCACGGACACAUGUCCACAAUCAUCAUUACACCAGCGGAAGCAAAAUAGGCCCGAGUACGGACAAGUUACAAUUAUUGCCUAAGAGGCUGAAACUGAAAAAGGAGAGCCACCACAAGUUCUCAGAACCCUGCUCUGGAAACUUCUGGCUAAACGUCGAAGCUGUCGUCGUCAAACUCCACGAAGUAACCACUCACCUGUUCAUCCGGAAACUCUGGAGAAAACAACGUUGCAAAACAACUGAGUACAAAGUACUCGCAAGACUUACGGGAGAUCUAAACUAGAUAUGCAACAAGUCUCAAAGGAUGGAUAAAAGAUGGGUUAUGCAGCAGCGAGAUAUAAGGAGAGACACGCUAAUGACAUUGUCUAGAUAGAAGAUAAGGAGCGUCUACCAAGUGAGGUGAUAUCCUAAUAACUAACACCAACCAAACACAACCUCUUAUCACCCCCUCAACCCCUUGUGAGGAAAUGAUCCAAAAGCACUCACACUUAAGCAGUUUUUAGGCAUAUCCAUGAUUAAGGCUAAUUACUACUCAAGUAUAAGAGGUUAAGUUAAUUAAUUAGUAUGAGUUCUCUAUGAUCAAGUAAUGACCAAACAAGUCGUCCAUGACCGCGGACAUGGCUUUCCGAAAGAUUUAUCCCUGCAGGGGGUGCCAAUUUACCCGUACACGUUCGUCCAACCCUUGACGCCACUAGCAUGGAACACAUGCAAAAGCAUGUGCUGGCAGGAUUGAGCGACACGACGUUUUCAAGCCCCACAACUAAUCCAGGGGACCACCCAACUGAGUCUAAUCCGAAACGAGAGCCCGGCCGAAGCGUCGUACAGACUCAAGAGUUGCGUGUCUGCAGAAUGACCACUCCAGACUAGUGCCGCAAUCCUAUAUGUAUGCAAAGUAACAACAAGUCUCCAAACACAACACCAGUGUAUAUGCGAUAUGCCAAAUGGAACGCCCGAACUAUGUGGCCCCUGGAAGAGCUGUGAAACGAGUACUAAGCUGAGGGGGAACCCAUAUAUUCUCCCACGAGCGGUUAGCGCGAAGUUUCUUGGGUCGGCGAAAACGAGAACUCAGUCCUUAGGUCGGCGCCAAUGAAACAAAACACCAAUGCGUUAGCACGGCCUCCCAUCGUUGCCUUGUGCAGGUAAUAACAUGUCACAGUUUAAUAAUUGCAAUUAAAUACAGAAAAGUAGCAUGUGGAUGUAGCAAUUGUGUAACCCCAAGUAAGGACACUAGAUUAGCAAUCUAAGCAGACUUCUAAUGACCGACUAGGGCAAUAACAAACAUGUGCCAUGGUAGUAGGAUAAGGAACAAGACCACAUGCAUUGGGGCAGAGCUGACUAAAGCUAUGCAAUUCUAGAAGCAUCGUGACAAUAACUGAGAACGUAACUUAAUGCAAGAAUGAGAGAGAAGCAUUGGUAUAAUCAACAUGUUCAAGGUAUGGCUGCUUGCCUGGAUUCUCGGUCGCUGGGCACCGAGAGAGGGGAUCCGAAGAAGUGUGGGAACCCGGAUCGUCGACGGAGUAAGUCGGAGUCGCUAUCGUAAAGAUCCAAAUCACACAAUACGCGAAUAAGUAACAAUUCAUAGGUGCAAUGCCCAAUACAACAUGAGAUGGCAUGUGACAACAUGAUGCGACCAUAUGCAAGUGAAAGGAUUCCAUUUAGCAUCAAAGUUAACCAUUAGGUGACUAGAACAUGGUAAACAGCAGCGGACGCGGAUCUCAAUAGAGAAAGGGCGCAUCGCCUCUUAACAUGGCGCAAACCGUCAGCUAGCGGACGCGCACGGCGGCCAUGGCACGGCAGGAAUGCCGGCGACCAAAACUAGCGGCGGAGGUUCCCAAGGCUGGGCCUUUUCGUCCCGGCGCAUCGCGGAGGCAAGCUAGCACGAAGGCUAGCGCACAAGCCUUCCUGGCACGCGUGCGCGACAUGGAGCCGAAGCUCGCCGGCGGCGUUCCAAGGCGCGGUCGUGUCGAGCGCGCGCUACAGAGAGAACUAGAGAGAGAGGGAGGUCGCGACGGAUGCGCGUCGACAAGGCGGAACUCACCGUUCCGAAGAUGGUCCACGGAGAUGCUCGUCGGUGCCGGAAUUUGGGGAAGAACUCGCCGGCGGCCGAAUAGGAGAAGUUGUCCUAGGCGUCGCUGCAGGCGCCCUCCGUCAAAUUCCUUGCACGCGGACGAAGAGGAAGACGAGGCGCGCUUGACGACGCAGUCGGCUUGCCGCCGUUCGGCAGGAGACGGUGGCGCGUCGCCGACGAGCUCGCGGCAGAAAACGGGUGAUGGCGCCGUGCGGAGAGAGAGGGAGUUGGGCUACGGUUAGCAGGAGAGGCGCGGCGCAGCUUAAAUAGAGGAGAAGGGGCUCGGAGGCCGUCACAUCACGGGCGCCGGUUGACGUGGCGUGCGGGGGGCUCACCGGUCGGGAGGAAGAAAAAGCAGAGAGGAUGAAGACGCCUGUGAGAGGUGGCGCAUUUCGCA